UACGUAGGGGGCAAGCGUUGUCCGGAAUCAUUGGGCGUAAAGCGCGUGUAGGCGGCCCGAUAAGUCCGCUGUGAAAGUCCAGGGCUCAACCCUGGAAUGCCGGUGGAUACUGUCGGGCUCGAGUCCGGAAGAGGCGAGUGGAAUUCCUGGUGUAGCGGUGAAAUGCGCAGAUAUCAGGAGGAACACCGGUGGCGAAGGCGGGUCUCUGGACCGAUACUGACGUGAGGCACGAAGGUCAGGGGAGCAAACGGG
rnacentral:rRNA from 1 species